rnacentral:rRNA from 1 species
GACGUAGGGCGCGAGCGUUGUCCGGAAUUAUUGGGCGUAAAGAGCUCGUAGGCGGUUUGUCGCGUCUGCUGUGAAAAUCAGGGCUUAACCCUGGACCUGCAGUGGGUACGGGCAGACUAGAGUGCGGUAGGGGAGAUCGGAAUUCCUGGUGUAGCGGUGAAAUGCGCAGGAUAUCAGGAGGAACACCGGUGGCGAAGGCGGAUCUCUGGGC